UAAAACUCAAAAGAAUUGACGGGGACCCGCACAAGCGGUGGAGCAUGUGGUUUAAUUCGAUGCAACGCGAAAAACCUUACCACUCCUUGACAUGGAGAUUAGAUCCUUCUUAACGGAAGGGCGCAGUUCGGCUGGAUCUCGCACAGGUGCUGCAUGGCUGUCGUCAGCUCGUGUCGUGAGAUGUUGGGUUAAGUCCCGCAACGAGCGUAACCCUCAUCCUUAGUUGCCAGCGGGUAAUGCCGGGCACUUUAAGGAAACUGCCGGUGGUAAACUGGAGGAAGGUGGGGAUGAUGUCAAGUCAGCACGGCCCUUAUGGGGUGGGCUACACACGUGCUACAAUGGUGACUACAAUAGGUUGCAAUGUCGCAAGGCUGAGCUAAUCCGUAAAAGUCAUCUCAGUUCGGAUUGUCCUCUGCAACUCGAGGGCAUGAAGUCGGAAUCGCUAGUAAUCGUGGAUCAGCAUGCCACGGUGAAUACGUUCUCGGGUCUUGUACACACUGCCCGUCACGCCAUGGGAAUUGGCUUAACUCGAAGCUGGUGCGCUAACCGAAAGGAAGCAGCC
rnacentral:rRNA from 1 species